ACGCAUGGGAGCUUGCUCCUGGAUUAGUGGCGAACGGGUGAGUAACACGUGAGUAACCUGCCCUUAACUCUGGGAUAAGCCUGGGAAACUGGGUCUAAUACCGGAUAUGACUCCUCAUCGCAUGGUGGGGGGUGGAAAGCUUUAUUGUGGUUUUGGAUGGACUCGCGGCCUAUCAGCUUGUUGGUGAGGUAAUGGCUUACCAAGGCGACGACGGGUAGCCGGCCUGAGAGGGUGACCGGCCACACUGGGACUGAGACACGGCCCAGACUCCUACGGGAGGCAGCAGUGGGGAAUAUUGCACAAUGGGCGAAAGCCUGAUGCAGCGACGCCGCGUGAGGGAUGACGGCCUUCGGGUUGUAAACCUCUUUCAGUAGGGAAGAAGCGAAAGUGACGGUACCUGCAGAAGAAGCGCCGGCUAACUACGUGCCAGCAGCCGCGGUAAUACGUAGGGCGCAAGCGUUAUCCGGAAUUAUUGGGCGUAAAGAGCUCGUAGCGGUUUGUCGCGUCUGCCGUGAAAGUCCGGGGCUCAACUCCGGAUCUGCGGUGGGUACGGGCAGACUAGAGUGAUGUAGGGAGACUGGAAUUCCUGGUGUAGCGGUGAAAUGCGCAGAUAUCAGAGGAACACCGAUGGCGAAGGCAGGUCUCUGGGCAUUAACUGACGCUGAGGAGCGAAAGCAUGGGGAGCGACAGGAUUAGAUACCCUGGUAGUCAUGCCGUAAACGUGGGGCACUAGGUGGUGGGGGACAUCACGUUUUCGCGCGUAGCUACGCAUAGUGCCCCGCCUGGGGGAGUACGGCCGCAAGGCUAAAACUCAAAGGAAUUGACGGGGGCCCGCACAAGCGGCGGAGCAUGCGGAUUAAUUCGAUGCAACGCGAAGAACCUUACCAAGGCUUGACAUGAACCGGUAAUACCUGGAGACAGGUGCCCCGCUUGCGGUCGGUUUACAGGUGGUGCAUGGUUGUCGUCAGCUCGUGUCGUGAGAUGUUGGGUUAAGUCCCGCAACGAGCGCAACCCUCGUUCUAUGUUGCCAGCACGUGAUGGUGGGGACUCAUAGGAGACUGCCGGGGUCAACUCGGAGGAAGGUGGGGACGACGUCAAAUCAUCAUGCCCCUUAUGUCUUGGGCUUCACGCAUGCUACAAUGGCCGGUACAAAGGGUUGCGAUACUGUGAGGUGGAGCUAAUCCCAAAAAGCCGGUCUCAGUUCGGAUUGGGGUCUGCAACUCGACCCCAUGAAGUCGGAGUCGCUAGUAAUCGCAGAUCAGCAACGCUGCGGUGAAUACGUUCCCGGGCCUUGUACACACCGCCCGUCAAGGUCUA
rnacentral:rRNA from 1 species